AGAAUCAACGCUGGCGGCGUGCCUAACACAUGCAAGUCGAACGAGAAAGUGGGUAGCAAUACCAUGAGUAAAGUGGCGCACGGGUGAGUAACACGUGACUAACCUACCCUUGAGUGGGGGAUAACUGAGGGAAACCUUAGCUAAUACCGCAUAAUACCCACGGGUCAAAGGAGCAAUUCGCUCGAGGAGGGGGUCGCGGCCGAUUAGUUAGUUGGCAGGGUAAUGGCCUACCAAGACGAUGAUCGGUA
rnacentral:rRNA from 1 species